UGACAACUUAGUUUAUAAAAAUAAAUACCUUGAAAGUAUAAGUGAGAGAAUACUCCUUCUCUAGUAGUC
rnacentral:tRNA from 1 species